rnacentral:rRNA from 1 species
AUUGAACGCUGGCGGCAGGCCUAACACAUGCAAGUCGAGCGGAUGAAGGGAGCUUGCUCCUGGAUUCAGCGGCGGACGGGUGAGUAAUGCCUAGGAAUCUGCCUGGUAGUGGGGGAUAACGUCCGGAAACGGGCGCUAAUACCGCAUACGUCCUGCGGGAGCAAGUGGGGGAUCUUCGGACCUCACGCUCUCAGAUGAGCCUAGGUCGGAUUAGCUAGUUGGUGGGGUAAAGGCCUACCAAGGCGACGAUCCGUAACUGGUCUGAGAGGAGGAUCAGUCACACGGGAACUGAGACACGGUCCAGACUCCUACGGGAGGCAGCAGUGGGGAAUAUUGGACAAUGGGCGAAAGCCUGAUCCAGCCAUGCCGCGUGUGUGAAGAAGGUCUUCGGAUUGUAAAGCACGUUAAGUUGGGAGGAAGGGCAGUAAGUUAAUACCUUGCUGUUUUGACGUUACCAACAGAAUAAGCACCGGCUAACUUCGUG